rnacentral:lncRNA from 1 species
CCUGUUUUUUGGCAGGAAAAGACCCAGAACCAGGGAGCUGGAUCUUCAUGUCCUCAAACGACAGAAGUUGAAAGCAGGUGGCUCUCCAAGCAGGAGAAGGUGAAGCUCCAGGGUGAAACCCCAGCAGAGGGCAGCCAGGGGUGAGGAGAGACCUGAAUGCGCCUGGGAUUCAGUAACACGGCUGGGAGAGAACUCCAUUGCCAGCCUGGAGCUAGGUUCCUAGUCCAGCCAAGCGGCCAAGUGAAAGGGGUGGAAGUCAGAGAGAGGGUCGCUGACAGCGGGGUUUAGCAUCCCACAAGGGAAACACAGUGAAGAUAGGGAGCCAGUACUCUCCUCUGGAGGCAUUUUGCAUCAGGAGGAUGGGCAAGGGAGUCCAGGUGUCCUUUGGGGAGCCUCUUGUAUCCUCGGUGACUUUCCCUGGCAGGCACGUCAGGGAGGAGCUGCGCUGAUGUCUGGAAGGAUGGCAGGAGGAGGAGGAACCCGGCAGCACAGCCUUCCUGAAGUUCCUGGCUUGGGCUCACGGGGGAGCUGGGUCCACUCUCAGAGAAGAAAAUGGGAAAAGACAAGAAAGUCAAGUCUCUGCCGACAGAGCCUGGGUCUUGCUCCAGCCGCUAGCGUGAGUUUGGUGGCCUUGAGAAUGCCCCUCACUCCCCUGUUCUCUCGAGCUCCACACUUGGGUAAGCACUUCUCGUGUGACAAUCCCUGAGCCCUGCAGUGUGUGGGACCCAGAGACGAGGCAGCCCGGCCCAGCUCUUGAGUUCCCCCAGCGGGGUAAGAGGAGAGGGGUGCGAAUAUUGAGUCUUCAAG